rnacentral:rRNA from 1 species
UAAGAGAUGGAUUUCAGGGAGACGUUUUUUUAAAUUUAAUAAUUAAAGUUAUUUUAAUUUGUGAAGAAACAAUUAUAUAAAUUAAGGACAAGAAGACCCUAAGAAUUUAAGAAUUCUUAUGUUACUUAAAUAUAAAAUAGGAAUUCUUAGUUGGGGCAACUAAAAAACAUUAUAAACUUUUUUUCUUUAAAAUGACCCAUUAUUAAUGAUAAUAUGAUUAAA